rnacentral:rRNA from 1 species
UACGUAGGGGGCAAGCGUUGUCCGGAAUCAUUGGGCGUAAAGAGCGUGUAGGCGGUCCUGUAAGUCCGCUGUGAAAGUCAAGGGCUCAACCCUUGAAUGCCGGUGGAUACUGCAGGACUAGAGUCCGGAAGAGGCGAGUGGAAUUCCUGGUGUAGCGGUGAAAUGCGCAGAUAUCGGGAGGAACACCAGUGGCGAAGGCGACUACCUGGCCUGUUCUUGACGCUGAGGCGCGAAAGCUAGGGGAGCAAACGGG